rnacentral:lncRNA from 1 species
AGCCGAAACCUUCAGUGUUCGAUCGAAUUGAAAAUAAGAAUGCCAGAGUUUCAGUGUUUAAAAGGUUAAAAGGAGAAUCCUCCCCAAUAGUUGAUGUAAAAGGUAAAGUUUCCGUCUUCCAAAGAUUAAGCGAAGAUUCUUCUUUUUCUACCCAAAUUGAUAAGAAUGCACAAGCUUCCCAAACGUCAUCCCAAAGACAAUCC